AUAAUGGGUCAGCGACUUAUAUUCUGUAGCAAGGUUAACCGAAUAGGGGAGCCGAAGGGAAACCGAGUCUUAACUGGGCGUUAAGUUGCAGGGUAUAGACCCGAAACCCGGUGAUCUAGCCAUGGGCAGGUUGAAGGUUGGGUAACACUAACUGGAGGACCGAACCGACUAAUGUUGAAAAAUUAGCGGAUGACUUGUGGCUGGGGGUGAAAGGCCAAUCAAACCGGGAGAUAGCUGGUUCUCCCCGAAAGCUAUUUAGGUAGCGCCUCGUGAAUUCAUCUCCGGGGGUAGAGCACUGUUUCGGCAAGGGGGUCAUCCCGACUUACCAACCCGAUGCAAACUGCGAAUACCGGAGAAUGUUAUCACGGGAGACACACGGCGGGUGCUAACGUCCGUCGUGAAGAGGGAAACAACCCAGACCGCCAGCUAAGGUCCCAAAGUCAUGGUUAAGUGGGAAACGAUGUGGGAAGGCCCAGACAGCCAGGAUGUUGGCUUAGAAGCAGCCAUCAUUUAAAGAAAGCGUAAUAGCUCACUGGUCGAGUCGGCCUGCGCGGAAGAUGUAACGGGGCUAAACCAUGCACCGAAGCUGCGGCAGCGACGCUGAUGCGUUGUUGGGUAGGGGAGCGUUCUGUAAGCCUGCGAAG
rnacentral:rRNA from 1 species